AGGACGAACGCUGGCGGCGUGCUUAACACAUGCAAGUCGAGCGGAAAGGCCCUUCGGGGUACUCGAGCGGCGAACGGGUGAGUAACACGUGAGUAAUCUGCCCCUAGCUCUGGGAUAGCUCCGGGAAACCGGGAUUAAUACCGGAUACGACCACCUUAGACAUCUUUUGUGGUGGAAAGAAUUUCGGCUAGGGAUGAGCUCGCGGCCUAUCAGCUUGUUGGUGGGGUAACGCCUACCAAGGCGACGACGGGUAGCCGGCCUGAGAGGGCGACCGGCCACACUGGGACUGAGACACGGCCCAGACUCCUACGGGAGGCAGCAGUGGGGAUAUUGCGCAAUGGGCGAAAGCCUGACGCAGCGACGCCGCGUGGGGAUGAAGGCCUUCGGGUUGUAAACCCAUUUCAGCAGGGACGAAGCGAAAGUGACGGUACUGCAGAGAAGCGCCGGCUAACUACGCGCCAGCAGCCGC
rnacentral:rRNA from 1 species